GAUGAACGCUGGCGGCGUGCCUAAUACAUGCAAGUCGAGCGAACAGACGAGGAGCUUGCUCCUCUGACGUUAGCGGCGGACGGGUGAGUAACACGUGGAUAACCUACCUAUAAGACUGGGAUAACUUCGGGAAACCGGAGCUAAUACCGGACAAUAUAUUGAACCGCAUGGUUCAAUAGUGAAAGACGGUUUUGCUGUCACUUAUAGAUGGAUCCGCGCCGCAUUAGCUAGUUGGUAAGGUAACGGCUUACCAAGGCAACGAUGCGUAGCCGACCUGAGAGGGUGAUCGGCCACACUGGAACUGAGACACGGUCCAGACUCCUACGGGAGGCAGCAGUAGGGAAUCUUCCGCAAUGGGCGAAAGCCUGACGGAGCAACGCCGCGUGAGUGAUGAAGGUCUUCGGAUCGUAAACUCUGUUAUUAGGGAAGAACAAAUGUGUAAGUAACUAUGCACGUCUUGACGGUACCUAAUCAGAAAGCCACGGCUAACUACGUG
rnacentral:rRNA from 1 species